rnacentral:rRNA from 1 species
CCUACGGGAGGCAGCAGUGGGGAAUAUUGGACAAUGGGCGAAAGCCUGAUCCAGCAAUGCCGCGUGAGUGAUGAAGGCCUUCGGGUCGUAAAGCUCUUUUACCAGGGAUGAUAAUGACAGUACCUGGAGAAUAAGCUCCGGCUAACUCCGUGCCAGCAGCCGCGGUAAUACGGAGGGAGCUAGCGUUGUUCGGAAUUACUGGGCGUAAAGAGUACGUAGGCGGUUAUUCAAGUCAGAGGUGAAAGCCCGGGGCUCAACCCCGGAACUGCCUUUGAAACUAGAUAACUAGAGUCUUGGAGAGGUUAGUGGAAUUCCGAGUGUAGAGGUGAAAUUCGUAGAUAUUCGGAAGAACACCAGUGGCGAAGGCGACUAACUGGACAAGUACUGACGCUGAGGUACGAAAGCGUGGGGAGCAAACAGGAUUAGAUACCCUGGUAGUCCACGCCGUAAACGAUGAUAACUAGUUGUUCGGUCACUUGGUGACUGAGUGACGCAGCUAACGCAUUAAGUUAUCCGCCUGGGGAGUACGGUCGCAAGAUUUAAAACCNCAAAGGAAUUGACGGCNGAAGAGUGCGAGACGACGACGAGGGAGGAGG